AACGGAUCCGCACUGGCACGAAAAAGACCGGGGCUCUUUUCACAAUCGUCCUUCUUCACCAAACUCACAGCUAGCAGCUGUAAAUUUCUUCCACAGAGAGACAAAGAGCUAGAGAGAGGGAAUUUGAUUCCCCAUCGAUCAUGUCGUUCUCGUUCUUCAAGCCGUCGAGGCCCAAAACCCCUCAGGAGGUCUCCAAGGCCAUUCACGACAGCCUCACUGCCCUCGACACCCAGACCGUCGCCGAAGUUAAAGCCCUCGAAAAGGCGUUGGAAGAGGUUGAAAAGAAUUUCGGGAUUAUGAGAUGUAUGCUUGUCGGGGAUGCGGAGACGGAACCUAAUAUGGAACAAGUUUCGCAGCUUGUGCUCGAGAUAUGUAAGGAGGAUGUUCUUGCUCUUCUAGUUCACAAGUUACCUAUACUGGGAUGGGAAGCAAGAAAAGAUUUGGUCCAUUGUUGGUCCGUGUUAUUGAAGCAAAAGGUUGAGGAUACUUAUUGCUGCGAACAAUACAUUGAGGACCAUACUGAGUUGCUAGACUUUCUGGUCGUGAGCUAUGAUAACAAGGAAAUUGCCUUAAAUUGUGGAGCUAUGUUGAGGGAUUGCAUCAGAUUCCCUAUUCUUGCAAAAUACAUAUUGGAGUCUGCAAGCUUUGUUUUGUUCUUCAAAUUUGUGGAGUUGCCUAACUUUGAUGUAGCUUCUGAUGCAUUUUCUACCUUUAAGGACUUACUUACUAAACAUGGAAUGGUGGUAUCUGAAUUUUUGACUGCACACUAUGAUGAGUUCUUCGAUCUGUAUGAAAAACUGUUAACAUCUCCUAACUACGUGACUAGGAGGCAAUCUUUAAAGCUUCUUACGGAUUUCCUAUUGGAACCUCCAAAUUCUCAUAUAAUGAAACGCUACAUUUUAGAAGUUCGGUUCUUGAAAGUCAUGAUGAUGCUGCUGAAGGAUUCAAGCAAAAACAUCCAGAUUGCUGCCUUCCACAUUUUCAAGGUCUUUGUUGCUAAUCCUAAUAAGCCUCGAGAAGUCAAGGUUAUUCUGGCUAAGAACCAUGCAAAAUUGACGGAGUUGCUCCAGAAUCUUUCUGCUGGAAAAGGUGAUGAAGAUGACCAAUUUGAAGAGGAAAAGGAGCUAAUCAUCAAGGAAAUUGAAUUAGUAACCCAACAACCUAAUCUUGGAUACUAGUUUGUGUCUGAUAGUUGCCUUUCUUCCCAAGUCCUAUAUUCGAAUUUUAAUGCUUUUAUUGUGAUGAUCUUCUGACAAACGCUGUUUGCCAACAAAAAAGGAGAUAAAAAGGAAUUCAUAGAACAGGUUUCCGUUUUGAAGAUUUGUCAUUACUUGAUUAAUCAAACACAUCCAUCAGAUCGGAGAAUUUCCACUUGAUGUGAGACGGACUACACCAAAGGUUGGUUACUGCAGUUGGCCACAAUCUAUCCGAGUAUGAUUCUCAGAAACCUGCAAAAAAUCAGAUUUACUGACUGAAGAUGGAAGGUUUAUCAGCAAAGGUACUCUUCGGAUGAAAGGUUCAUUGGUAGAAUGCGCCAUUUUUUUCGGUGAAUUGGUCUCUAAAAGUGCUUAAUAGCGUUUAAAAAUGUCAUCAAAAGUUGAUGGCUUUUUCAAAAUGCCAUUGAACGCCUGAAGCGACGAUUGUCCGCCGCUAAAAGGCGACUGGUUUGCCAGAUUCAGCUUACAAUGGAGAUGUUAUGAAUUUUCUUUUUGUUU